GUGUUGCGUGAAAGGAAAGAAGGUUAGCACCGCUUGACAAGGCUGGAAGAGACCCUCGGGUUUGGCAACACGCACACAGUUAAGGCAUUGCCAUCUAACCACGGUUUUUU
rnacentral:ncRNA from 1 species